rnacentral:rRNA from 1 species
CCUACGGGAGGCAGCAGUGGGGAAUAUUGGACAAUGGGCGCAAGCCUGAUCCAGCAAUGCCGCGUGAGUGAUGAAGGCCUUAGGGUCGUAAAGCUCUUUUACCAGGGAUGAUAAUGACAGUACCUGGAGAAUAAGCUCCGGCUAACUCCGUGCCAGCAGCCGCGGUAAUACGGAGGGAGCUAGCGUUGUUCGGAAUUACUGGGCGUAAAGCGUACGUAGGCGGUUAUUCAAGUCAGAGGUGAAAGCCCGGGGCUCAACCCCGGAACGGCCUUUGAAACUAGGUAGCUAGAAUCUUGGAGAGGUCAGUGGAAUUCCGAGUGUAGAGGUGAAAUUCGUAGAUAUUCGGAAGAACACCAGUGGCGAAGGCGACUGACUGGACAAGUAUUGACGCUGAGGUACGAAAGCGUGGGGAGCAAACAGGAUUAGAUACCCUGGUAGUCCACGCCGUAAACGAUGAUAACUAGCUGUUCGGGCACUUGGUGCUUGAGUGGCGCAGCUAACGCAUUAAGUUAUCCGCCUGGGGAGUACGGUCGCAAGNUUAAAACUUAAGGAAUUGAACCGG